rnacentral:rRNA from 1 species
UGAGUCUUUGCCAAAAAGACGUUUACGUUAUGCUCGUAGGCGUCGCCCAAGGAUGAGGCCGCGACCGAUCAGGUUGUUGGUGAGGUAAUGGCUCACCAAGCCUUUUACCGGUGCGGGCCGUGAGAGCGGGAGCCCGGAGAUGGGCACUGAGACAAGGGCCCAGGCCCUACGGGGCGCAGCAGUCGCGAAAACUUUGCAAUACACGAAAGUGUGACAGGGCUAUCCCGAGUGCCAUCCGCUGAGGAAGGCUUUUACCCAGUCUAGAACGCUGGGGGAAUAAGGAGAGGGCAAGUCUGGUGUCAGCCGCCGCGGUAAUACCAGCUCUCCGAGUGGUGUGGAUGUUUAUUGGGCCUAAAGCAUCCGUAGCUGGCUGAGUUAGUCCCUUGUUAAAUCCACCGAAUUAAUCGUUGGAUUGCGGGGGAUACUGCUCGGCUAGGGGACGAGAGAGGCAGACGGUAUUUCUGGGGUAGGGGUGAAAUCCUAUAAUCCCAGGAGGACCACCAGUGGCGAAGGCUGUCUGCUAGAACGCGCCCGACGGUGAGGGAUGAAAGCUGGGGGAGCGAACCGGAUUAGAUACCCGGGUAGUCCCAGCUGUAAACGAUGCAGACUAGGUGUUUGGACGGCCACGUGCCGUUCUAGUGCCGCAGGGAAGCUGUUAAGUCUGCCGCCUGGGGAGUACGAUCGCAAGAUUGAAACUUAAAGGAAUUGGCGGGGGAGCACCACAAGGGGUGAAGCUUGCGGUUUAAUUGGAUUCAACGCCGGG